rnacentral:rRNA from 1 species
UACGUAGGGGGCUAGCGUUGUCCGGAUUUAUUGGGCGUAAAGAGCGUGUAGGCGGCCAGAUAGGUCUGCUGUGAAAACUCGAGGCUCAACCUCGAGAUGUCGGCGGAAACCAUUUGGCUAGAGUCCGGAAGAGGAAAGUGGAAUUCCUGGUGUAGCGGUGAAAUGCGCAGAUAUCAGGAAGAACACCCGUGGCGAAGGCGGCUUUCUGGGACGGUACUGACGCUGAGAAGCGAAAGCGUGGGGAGCGAACAGG